rnacentral:rRNA from 1 species
ACGAACGCUGGCGGCGCGCCUCACACCUGCAAGUCGCACGAGCGAGAGAGAGCUUGCUUUCUUGAGCGAGUGGCGAACGGGUGAGUAACGCGUGAGGAACCUGCCUCAAAGAGGGGGACAACAGUUGGAAACGACUGCUAAUACCGCAUAAGCCCACGACCCGGCAUCGGGUUGAGGGAAAAGGAGCAAUCCGCUUUGAGAUGGCCUCGCGUCCGAUUAGCUAGUUGGUGAGGUAACGGCCCACCAAGGCGACGAUCGGUAGCCGGACUGAGAGGUUGAACGGCCACAUUGGGACUGAGACACGGCCCAGACUCCUACGGGAGGCAGCAGUGGGGAAUAUUGCACAAUGGGGGAAACCCUGAUGCAGCGACGCCGCGUGGAGGAAGAAGGUCUUCGGAUUGUAAACUCCUGUUGUUGAGGAAGAUAAUGACGGUACUCAACAAGGAAGUGACGGCUAACUACGUG